UACGGAGGGUGCAAGCGUUAUCCGGAAUUACUGGGCGUAAAGCGCACGUAGGCGGCUUUUUAAGUCAGGGGUGAAAUCCCGGGGCUCAACCCCGGAACUGCCCUUGAAACUGGGAGGCUAGAAUCUUGGAGAGGCGAGUGGAAUUCCGAGUGUAGAGGUGAAAUUCGUAGAUAUUCGGAAGAACACCAGUGGCGAAGGCGACUCGCUUGAAAAGUAUUGACGCUGAGGUGCGAAAGCGUGGGGAGCAAACAGG
rnacentral:rRNA from 1 species